rnacentral:rRNA from 1 species
UCAACUUGAGAGUUUGAUCCUGGCUCAGAACGAACGCUGGCGGCAGGCCUAACACAUGCAAGUCGAGCGCAUCCUUCGGGAUGAGCGGCGGACGGGUUAGUAACGCGUGGGAAUAUACCCUUCUCUACGGAAUAGCCUUUGGAAACGAAGAGUAAUACCGUAUACGCCCUUCGGGGGAAAGAUUUAUCGGAGAGGGAUUAGCCCGCGUUGGAUUAGGUAGUUGGUGAGGUAACGGCUCACCAAGCCUACGAUCCAUAGCUGGUUUGAGAGGAUGAUCAGCAACACUGGGACUGAGACACGGCCCAGACUCCUACGGGAGGCAGCAGUGGGGAAUCUUAGACAAUGGGCGCAAGCCUGAUCUAGCCAUGCCGCGUGAGUGAAGAAGGCCUUAGG